GAUGAAGAACGCAGCGAAAUGCGAUAAGUAAUGUGAAUUGCAGAAUUCAGUGAAUCAUCGAGUCUUUGAACGCACAUUGCGCCCCCUGGUAUUCCGGGGGGCAUGCCUGUCCGAGCGUCAUUGCCGCCCUCAAGCACGGCUUGUGUGUUGGGCCCCCGCCCCCCGGCUUCGGGGGGCGGGCCCGAAAGGCAGCGGCGGCACCGCGUCAGGUCCUCGAGCGUAUGGGGCUUCGUCACCCGCUCUGUAGGCCCGGCCGGCGCCCGCCGGCGACCCCAAUCAAUCUUUCCAGGUUGACCUCGGAUCAGGUAGGGAUACCCGCUGAACUUAAGCAUAUCAAUAAGCGGAGGA
rnacentral:misc_RNA from 1 species